rnacentral:rRNA from 1 species
UAAGGAAUAUUGGUCAAUGGACGCAAGUCUGAACCAGCCAUGCCGCGUGAAGGAUGAAGGCCCUCUGGAUUGUAAACUUCUUUUAUCUGGGACGAAAACGGGAUUUUUAUCUCAAUUGACGGUACCAGAGGAAUAAGCACCGGCUAACUCCGUGCCAGCAGCCGCGGUAAUACGGAGGGUGCGAGCGUUAUCCGGAUUUACUGGGUUUAAAGGGUGCGUAGGUGGGCUUAUAAGUCAGUGGUGAAAUCUCCGAGCUUAACUUGGAAACUGCCGUUGAUACUAUAGGUCUUGAAUUAUCUGGAGGGAAGCGGAAUAUGUCAUGUAGCGGUGAAAUGCUUAGAUAUGACAUAGAACACCAAUUUCGAAGGCAGCUUACUACAUAUAAAUUGACGCUGAGGCACGAAAGCGUGGGGAUCAAACA